UACGGAGGGUGCAAGCGUUAAUCGGAAUACUGGGCGUAAAGCGCACGCAGGUGGCUGAGUCAGUCGAUUGUGAAAGCCCUGGGCUUAACCUGGGAAUUGCAGUCGAUACUACUCAGCUAGAGUAUGGGAGAGGGUAGUGGAAUUCCCGGUGUAGCGGUGAAAUGCGUAGAUAUCGGGAGGAACAUCAGUGGCGAAGGCGGCUACCUGGCCCAAUACUGACAC
rnacentral:rRNA from 1 species